CACAUCCACGAGAUGAAGUUAAUGGGUCAUGGUACCAAGUUCUUGCUUGGCUCCGACCCAGGAAAGUCCCCGAGCCACUAACUGCCGAGAUGCAGACUCAAGAAUGAGUAACCUUGAGCACGGUGGCUCUUGCCCUUGUGCAAGGGCUGAGACACGUGUGGAGCCCUAAAGCCACCCUGCUGAAGUGUCUUGGCUGACUAUCCACAGUUAUUCACUUGGUCCAAUCCCAGGAUGGACUAACCGAACGGGGCUUACACUCUCGUGAUGU
rnacentral:RNase_MRP_RNA from 1 species